UGGUUCACACCGGGGAAAACUCCUCCAGA
rnacentral:piRNA from 1 species